UGUUACCCUAAAGAGAUGGAGCUCCUUGAGUUUACCACUGGAAGGCAGGUUUUCGAAUCUCUCCCGUGGCUUUUCUCUGAACCCUCCCCAAUUUACCCCUCUUGAAUUGUGGGCACCAGGCCUGGACACGGGCUCCUAGCAGCGGUCGCACCAGUGCCGCAUACAGAGGCAAAAUAACCUCUCUGCUCCAACUCAAGAUUUCCCGGUUUCUGCAUCCCAGGCUCACAUUAGCUCUCUUGGCCCAGGGGCAUGCUGGGAGCUCCUGAUUAGCCACCUCGACCCCCAGAUCUUUUUCAGGGUCCCUUUUCCAGGCUGUUCUUCAGCUGUGGCGAGCGAACGGCAGCAUGGCCCAAUGGGUAAGUCUAGCCUGCGAGUGAGGAGUCCUGAAUUCCAAGCCCAGCUCCACCCCUCCCCUGACGUAUGACCUUUGUCACGGCCCUGCUCUGUGCCUCAGUUUCCCUUCUCCCUCUUUGGUCUGUUCAGAUGGUGAGCUCACUGGGGCAGAAACUGUCUCGCUACAUGUCUGUGCAGAGCCUGGCGCAAAGGGGCUCUGAUCACAGGUGUGGCUUCUCAGGACAAGACUGUACCACAAACAAUAACACACUCAUUGACCCAGAGCCUCUGGCAAUUGCAGGAUGCUGACUGGGUUGGGCUUGCUCUUAGGGGGCAGUCCCUGCUCCAUGUUUCAAAGGAAGGAGAUGCUGUCUUUUUUCCAGGGUCUCUGCUCACAUGGUCUCCGAUUUUGAGCAUCAGGAUAAACCACUGACUCUGAGCAAGCGUCACCCCUGGCUUACCGGCUAGGCAUGGAAUCCCAAAUCACUACCAGACUGUAUGCUCCUGCUGCCUUUAGGCGUGUCUGCAUUGUGUGCUUCCAAACAAUCAAUCAAUCAGGUGUGGCCCAGGGGCCUUUACAAACACAGUUCUUUCCCCUUCCCUCUGGCCAAGUUUUUUCCUUACAGCCCGAGCAGUGAAGCUAGAGAGGGGGAAAUCUGUCAGCAAUUGCACUCUGCCCUGGUGCCAAAAACAACAACCCCUGCCUGGACUCAUAGCGACAAUGCAAAGUUGUAUCCAAACGUCCAACUUCCUGUCCUGAGCUGUUGCCGGGCACUGUUAAACAGCUGAUGUCCCCCACCCCAGAGAUUGCUGCGUUUCAGUGAUGAGUGAAUGAUCCCGGUGCCAUGUUCUGUGUGGCUGUUGUAUGGUUACCAUGCCUGCCCCACCCCAGAGGUGGCUGCAUUCCAGGGACAGGACUGCCCAGGCUGCGUUCCAGAUGACUAAUCAACCCUACAGUUCUGACAGCAGCUGUGCGAGCGUCGCCGCAGAUGCUGAACGAGGGGCUUGAAUCCCCGAAGAGCGUACGCGUCUCCGUCGGCAUCUGUCUCGGUGGCCCUCGCUGACCGGAGUUCGCGGCGUGAAGCAGGGGUGCUGCUGGCCCAGAGGGCCAGUUCUAAGGAGGCGGUGAAGCCACCUGCCCUACCCUGGAGGGAAUGUGAGACUCCUCGGGGAUCUGGCACUGAGAGGCUCCUCCCAGAGACCGUUCCAAAGCUGGGGCCCUGUCACGGAUCCGUGCUAGAAGCCUAGGAUAUACCCUGCGAAAUCAAACCCAGGGGUCUUCUAUCAUGCUGCCUCUGGCUGUCACCUAGAAAGAUAACGACUGCGCUAAUUAGCAGCCAAAGCUUCCCACAGCACGCUGCGAGUUUGUAUGUAGAAAUCACCACCAGGGCCAGGAAAUAAAGUUUAUUCUCUUACUAA